rnacentral:sRNA from 1 species
CUGGAUCACCUGAGGUCAGGAGUUCGUGAGGCUCCGGCGUUUGUAUUUCAUUUGAAUCUAAAGUGAGCAGCCACAGGGACCCGCAGCUCAUCAGACCAGCCUGGGGUUCCAGGCCAGGAGGGCAGCGGUUUGCUCCAGAGCCAGCUGCUUGUGGGUGUGGGACGGUGGCGACGCGUGUACCGGGGCUGUGUCCUGCCACCAGAGGAGGUGUGCGUGGCGGGGAGCAGAGGGGCUUUGUUUCCCAGGUGAAGGUGCGGCUUCUUCACCCUUGGAGGUGCGUGUGUGGGUGGGGGUGCUUGCUGUUGAGGUUUAUGCCUGUGGCUGACAGCUGUCCCCCAAGCCAUGCUGGCAGCGUGUAGGUGUCGUGCCGGCCACCGCAGAGGAAUCCUCUGGGCUUCUGUGGUUCAAGUGGGGCCCAGCCCAGAGCUCCAUGACUUGCUGAGCAGCCAGCCCUGCAGCAUCUCCUGGUUUUGUCAGCAGGAGGUGUCCCCUGUGCAUUCAGGGGCUGUGGGGCCGGGGCACUCGCAGCAGGAAGGAGCCCUGCUCAGGCCUGCGUGCUCCCUUUCCGCAGAGGGAGACGCUGUUGCGGCAGCUGGAGACGAACCAGCUGGACAUGGACGCCACGCUGGAGGAGCUGUCGGUGCAGCAGGAGACGGAGGACCAGAACUACGGCAUGUACGUGGCCGGACCCGCCCGUGCGGGCGGUGUGGGGGCUGCGGGCGUGGCCGUGGUGCAGGGCCAUGGGCUGCACCAAGGAGACAGCAGAGGGGAGUGUCCCCUGUUUGGGGUAAAUUCGUCAUCUUGGGGCACGGGUGGAGGAGGACUCAGGUUUGCACUGCCCCCAGCAGCCCCCUCACAGUCACCCCUGGCAUGGACUCCUCAUACAGGUCAUGCUGUGCCUGCCACUCUGAGCACCGCUGACCGUGGCCAGGUGCUGGUGCUCGUGGAGUGCAUCAGGGGCUUGGCCUCCCAGAUUGAUGCCAGCAUGGGGUGUGCUUUCUGGGGAGCUGCUUGACUUUGGGAAGCUCCCUGUGUUGAAGAGGCAUACAGGCCAGGACAUGGAGGUCUCUGGUCCUCGACAGCAGAGGGCGGCUCAGAGCAUCCUCCUGAGUGGGCGUGGGCAGUGCAUAGCUCCGGGGUUGCGGCCAGUGGGACAGCUGGCCCGUUCUCUGCCUCAGGCUCCUGCACAGCUAGGGGCUUGGUGCCUCCCCUGGGACCCAGGCAGGGACCACGGAAUCAGUGGCCCUCCUGAGGCCCCCCAGGAGGUCUCUGUUUCCAGGAGAGCCCUGUGGGUAACCUUGGAUCUGGCUGUUGGCUCAGACACACCAAGAGACUGAGAGGGAAGGCAGUUUGAUGCCUGGAGAGGGACCCGUGGCUUCCAGCUGCCAGGCCAGCCCCAGAUUGGAGCCCCCCGCAUGGGCGCUUCUCUGUUGAACCAAUCCUGGCAUUUCCUGGGCCUGAGAGUUGGGUCAGCUGGAUGCUGCGAUGGCCACACGUGCUCCACCAAGCCCCAGCCCCCUCCUCUUCCCAGAAACCCCCGCUCACGGGAAGGUCCAGUUGCUGCCAUCUGGCCACCUCUGCAUGGAGCCCCCAACAGCUGUGCCUCAGAACAGAUCUGAAGUGACUUUCAGGGGAGCUGGACACAUGCACGCUGGUGCCUGCUGUCCCCACCCUUCGGCACUGCUGCUCUUUUUCUGAGAUGGAGUCUCACUCUGUCGCCCAGGCUGGAGCGCAGUGGUGUGAUCUCGGCUCACCGCAAGCUCCGCCUCCCGGGUUCACGCCAUUCUCCUGCCUCAGCCUCCCAAGUAGCUGAGGCUACAGGCACCCGCCACCACACCCAGCUAAUUUUUUUUGUAUUUUUAGUAGAGACGGGGUUUCACUGCGUUAGCCAGGACAGUCUCCACCUCCUGACCUCGUGAUCUGCCUGCCUUGGCCUCCUACAGUGCUGGGAUUACAGGCAUGAGCCACCGUGCCUGGCCGGCACUGCUGCCCUUGGAAGUGGAUGGGGAUGAUGGCCCCUGUGGGGCGGGUGGCCCAGAACACAGCGGCUCUUCCCAGCCCCAGCAGCAGCAGCAGAGAGCCCCCUGUCACCUGAGGGCCUCAGGGAGAGGCAGGGGAGCCAGGCUUCUCACCCGCCUUCUGCCUUUCAGCUUCCUGGAGAUGAUGGAGGCUCGCAGCCGUGGCCAUGCGUCCCCACUGGCGGCCAACGGGCAGAGCCCAUCCUCGGGCUCCCAGUCACCAGUGGUGCCUGCAGGUGCCGUGUCCACGGGGAGCUCCAGCCCCGGCACACCCCAGCCCGCCCCACAGCUGCCCCUCAAUGCUGCCCCACCAUCCUCUGUGCCCCCUGUACCACCCUCAGAGGCCCUGCCCCCACCUGCGUGCCCCUCAGCCCCCGCCCCACGGCGCAGCAUCAUCUCUAGGCUGUUUGGGACGUCACCUGCCACCGAGGCAGCCCCUCCACCUCCAGAGCCAGUCCCGGCCGCAGAGGCCCCAGCAACAGUCCAGAGUGUGGAGGACUUUGUUCCCGACGACCGCCUGGACCGCAGCUUCCUGGAAGACACGACCCCCGCCAGGGACGAGAAGAAGGUGGGGGCCAAGGCUGCCCAGCAGGACAGCGACAGUGAUGGGGAGGCCCUGGGCGGCAACCCGAUGGUGGCAGGGUUCCAGGACGACGUGGACCUCGAAGACCAGCCACGUGGGAGUCCCCCGCUGCCUGCAGGCCCCGUCCCCAGUCAAGACAUCACUCUUUCGAGUGAGGAGGAAGCAGAAGUGGCAGGUCCCACAAAAGGCCCUGCCCCAGCUCCCCAGCAGUGCUCAGAGCCAGAGACCAAGUGGUCCUCCAUACCAGCUUCGAAGCCACGGAGGGGGACAGCUCCCACGAGGACCGCAGCACCCCCCUGGCCAGGCGGUGCCUCUGUUCGCACAGGUCCGGAGAAGCGCAGCAGCACCAGGCCCCCUGCUGAGAUGGAGCCGGGGAAGGGUGAGCAGGCCUCCUCGUCGGAGAGUGACCCCGAGGGACCCAUUGCUGCACAAAUGCUGUCCUUCGUCAUGGAUGACCCCGACUUUGAGAGCGAGGCAUCAGACACACAGCGCAGGGCGGAUGAGUUUCCCGUGCGAGAUGACCCCUCCGAUGUGACUGACGAGGAUGAGGGCCCUGCCCAGCUGCCCCCACCCCCCAAGCUCCCUCUCCCCGCCUUCAGACUGAAGAAUGACUCGGACCUCUUUGGGCUGGGGCUGGAGGAGGCCGGACCCAAGGAGAGCAGUGAGGAAGGUAAGGAGGGCAAAACCCCCUCUAAGGAGAAG